rnacentral:lncRNA from 1 species
UGCAGACAUUUGAAAGCGUAAAGGGAGGGUGGAGGAUGUCUUUUUUUCUCUCUCUCUCCCUCCUCUCUCUCUCUCUCUCUCCUCUCUCUCUCUCUCUCUCUCUUUCCCUCUCCUGAAUUAUUCAUAGUGUCAGUGGUGAAGCCAGGACUAUUAGCAUGCAUCAGACAUGCUGUUUGUCUGUUUGCUAACAUUCUUCAUUCAAGACUUGUUAACUACCAGACAAGCUUAACACGCUUCUCUUUUUUCCCCUCCCCUUCCCUCUCCCUGUGUCUCUGUCUCUGCGCGCCUGCCUCCCCUCAUUUCUGCCUUCCCUUGCCUUGCCUUUCAUGCCACCCCUCUCAGCCUCCCAUUGUUGUUGCCGAGAGCUGGCAGCCAGGGGUGGCGGUGGCAGGGGAAGCAUGCGGACGAGGAGCCGGAGCCCGGUUGCUAGCAUACUAGCCUGGAUGCAAUCUCCCUGUAAGGAGUGUGAAAUGUACAGCUGCAAAACUACAGUUUUAAGCAAAAAAAAAGCUCUUCCUCAUCUGAACCAUCAUUCAAAACACAAGAUGAAAGUAGCUGAAGAAAAGUUGUUUAUGAUAUCAUCUGCAGGACUCCUAGAAAAUUCUUUGGAAACUUGGGCAUGUCUGUCUCAGGCUGCCCCUAAAAGAAAUGAAGUAUUAAUCUGGCAAGAUGAAAUCAAGAUGCACAAAGAGAAGAUAUUAGAGACUAUUCUGCAAGGUGUUCAGGAACUGUGGAUAAAGCAAAUUCUUUUCUGAUAUUCACUGGAGCAAAAUGAACUAGCUCUCCUCUGCUGCUGGACCAAUUCAGCACCUGAAGAAGGCACUGUAAAACUCCCAGUGAUCUUGGGAGUAGUGAAUUAGAUCCUAGGAACUACAUUAGGCCUAGGCUAGGUUACGCGGAGGGUGAAAUUCAUUUUGGUGCUGAGGGACGUCAGAAGGUCCUGUGUACCUCUUGUGAGUCCUCAAGGAUUUCAGUGAGAUUUAAAUGGUGUAAAAGUCCUGUAUAAAGCUGAAAGGAUUUUAGGCAUUUGUAGUGUAGAAAUGGGACUCUCCAGUAGCAAGAACAAUCUAGGGAAAGGUUGUAAAUUUCUAGAUUAUAGGAAAAUAGAUUUUUCUUUAAGCGGUAUAUACAGUGAAAAGUAGUGCAGCUGAUUUUAAAAAGGCAUCCGUUUAGUCUAUAUUUUGCAUCUCUGAAGCAAGGAGAGCAAUUGUGUGAAUGCUUUUCAAAGCUCCUUGUGAGCAGGUGAUGACAGGCAUGCUAUAGAUGUGAAAACUUACAGCUUAGUAGCAGUAGGUAAUUACAUAUAUUUUUAUAUUAUGAUAAUAAUGUGGAGAUAUUUACGGUACAUUAUAACUAUGUACACUUACUGUAAACUUAUAACUAUGAUUAAGUUGAGCAAAUGGGACUGCUCACAGGCUUAAAGGUAAGUCAGUUGUGUUUUGCAGACUGUAUCAAUACAAAGUGCAUUCAGAGAGAACAUUUUACUUUUUGAUAAUCAUAAUCUUAUGUGUUACCUCCUUACAAUCAUUACAUCAGAAUAAUUACUAUUGCAAACUAUUGUUUGUAAUUAAGUAUUUUAAACAAAACCACAAAAACAGUUACCUCCUAAGGAUGUAUAUUUAACAUGUAUGUCACUAAUACGUGAAAAAUCACUCUUGUUAAAUGUUACACCGUAUGUGACUGUCUGAAGAGCACGUAUGAAUAAACAGCAGUCAUUCUGAAUAUUUUUUUAAUUC